GGAAGAGCUUUACUUCCCAUUUCAAUCCAACUGCUAAUGGCGGAAACCAAAAUGGAAAAGGCUAUUCGCCAAAAUUUGAUAUUCAGCCUUUUCUCCAAUCUCUAUCACAAUCUUCACGAGUUGCGCCACACCUACAAGUUGAAGGGUAUUGUCUAAAACACCCAUUUUAAGAGCUCAAGAUGAUAAAUGAUUCAAAUUUUUUUCUUUUUAAGAAAAAUGUCAAAUCGCGGUUUAAUGAUGUCAUUCUCGCGUAAAAUUAUAGUAUUAACCUCAACCUUGAUUUAAGCUUUUUUUUCGUCUUCCACGCAGUCACAUGUUUUCCCUCAUCUCCUCAUGCGGAUUCUUCUUCUUCGACUUCUUUUCCAACAACGAGUGACACCAACAAUGUGAGAGAGAUCGAGACGAGACGAG
rnacentral:lncRNA from 1 species